CACCUGCGGCCCAUAGACCCAGCCCAACAGCGCCAGAGAUCAACCCUAAACUUCCGGAUAUCACGGAAAUCGGUAAUGUAACGAGUCUCCAGGCUAAGCCCGGUGCGGGAGCGGUAAUAGGACCGGAGGCGGAGGCGGAGGCGGAGGCGGAGGCCGAGGCCGAGGCGGAAACAGUCCGGGCCCGUGAAUCGGGAGGGUCGGAAUCAGAGACAGUGGAAGAAGCGGAGGGUUGAGUGGAAGAGGUGAAGGAAGAGAUGGCGAGUUCAAGGUCCCAACCAUGGGCCUGAAGGAUUUCGGUACACAAAUCGGGAUC
rnacentral:lncRNA from 1 species